UUGGACUGUAGUGUAGAAAUUCUUCAGUCCUUAUUUGGUAAUCAGAUGCGCAAGUGCCAUGAGUGCAAACAACGCGUGCUGUGUCAUCCGCUACACGGCCGUUGGGAAGGCCACAGUUGUCCUCACCUCGAUAGUCUCAGUUUACGCCUUCCUGCAGAUUAUGGCGCAAAAUUGGUGCGAAAUAAGUGAAUGGCGAACAUUUCUGCUACUAGUCAUAACUCUGAGCUCAGGGUACGCGGCCG